rnacentral:rRNA from 1 species
UACAGAGGGUGCAAGCGUUGUUCGGAAUUAUUGGGCGUAAAGCGCGCGCAGGCGGCCUCUUAAGUCUGAUGUGAAAGCCCCCGGCUCAACCGGGGAGGGCCAUUGGAAACUGGGAGGCUUGAGUAUAGGAGAGAAGAGUGGAAUUCCACGUGUAGCGGUGAAAUGCGUAGAGAUGUGGAGGAACACCAGUGGCGAAGGCGGUGGUCUGGGCCGGUACUUGACGCUGAGGAGCGAAAGCGUGGGGAGCGAACAGG